ACGAAAUCAGGCGAUUUGAAUCGAUUUGAUAAGAAACUAUGGUGUAUCGGUCAUAAAAUUGGGAGACAGUCUCUUUGCUCCAAUCUCUUUCUCAUGUUGCUACGGUUUGAUGAUGAGGAUGUGGAAGAGAGCUAUGUAAGGUCUGAGGGAAAGAUAUGACGAUGUUGAAUCACAUAUGAGGCUCCUAUGU